rnacentral:rRNA from 1 species
AGCGAACGCUGGCGGCAGGCCUAACACAUGCAAGUCGAACGAACCCUUCGGGGUUAGUGGCGGACGGGUGAGUAACACGUGGGAACGUGCCUUUAGGUUCGGAACAACUCAGGGAAACUUGAGCUAAUACCGGAUGUGCCCUUCGGGGGAAAGAUUUAUCGCCAUUGGAGCGGCCCGCGUCUGAUUAGCUAGUUGGUGAGGUAAAGUCUCACCAAGGCGACGAUCAGUAGCUGGUCUGAGAGGAUGAUCAGCCACAUUGGUACUGGGACACGGCCCAAACUCCUACGGGAGGCAGCAGUGGGGAAUCUUGCGCAAUGGGCGAAAGCCUGACGCAGCCAUGCCGCGUGGAUGAUGAAGGUCUUAGGAUUGUAAAAUCCUUUCACCGGUGAAGAUAAUGACUGUAGCCGGAGAAGAAGCCCCGGCUAACUUCGUGCCAGCCGCCGCCGUAAAAC